CGGAGUCUCAGUGACAAAAAGCUCCCGCUCGGUGCCCAGCGCCUGGCGGCGGUGUCCGACCGCGAACGCAGAGGGCGGCCACGCAGGUGGGGGUGUAGCCCGAAGGGCCGGGCCGGGAGCUGGGGCUGCAGGCUCCGCCGCUGCGCUGUCAGCGCCUGCCCCGUGGCUCUCGGCUGGAGGAGCGGCGGCCGCCUGCCCGGGGCGCGCGUCUGGCUGAGAGGGGCUGGCGCGUCGGGACCACCUGCCGAUGCUGUCGCCGCCGCCGCCGCCUCUGUAGCGAGCGCCCAAGCCCGCCGCGGAGAAAGGUUUACAGCAACCCCUGAAGGCCAACCUCUACAGUGGGCAGCAUGUUCUGAAUGCCUGUGCUGGCUGCGAGGAAAAUGGGGAGAGGAGCCAGGAAAAGCGCAACUGCCCACAUUACCGUGAAUCUCCUCGGACAGCUUUGUAAGUGAGGAGCUGGGGUAUCUGAAUUGCCCCAGGAGGCUCGUUAAGUUCUAAGAAGGUGAGCAAAAUUGAUUUAAUAUAUUAUUUGUGUUAGCUAGCAUAUUCAUUUAAGGUUAAAUUUACAUAAUAGUAAAGUUGUAUUUUUAUGUGUGUUUUGUGUAUUUUUAUACUACAGUGGGGGUUCCUUAUAGAAUUAGUGUGCUCUGGACGUUCGUGGCCAUUUUAUAGGAUUUAGGAGCAGUAUUUUACAUUUUAAAUGAUUACUGUGAAUCCAGUUGUUAUUUUUAUUUUUCCUGCUGCAUUGCUGGUAAUAUCUAGGUUUAUCUGAUGCUG
rnacentral:lncRNA from 1 species